UUAAUACUCCCAUCACGGCCAGUUUCAAGCCAGCAAUGUGAUGUCAACAAGUUCACUGAAUUCCUAAAAUUUAACAAUUGAUUCUCAACAAGCCAGCAUGAGCCAGCUCUAGCACACCACUGCUUCCAAGGAUCAGCUUCCACAUCUGAAAAAUGAGAAUCACACCACCUCCACAUGGCCGUUGUCAGGACUGAGAUAAUAAACUGCAGCACCAGUCACAAGCUGAUUGUUCAGAGAAAUGCACAGGGAGACAGGGCCCGCGUGACGGGAGCAGCCCAUCAACUGACCCAUUCAUUCGAAAAACUCCACGUGUAGAGACACUGGAUGGCUUUAGUGGAAGCACCUCAUUGUCUGGGGAGCUGAAGGAGAGACUUUCUAGAAUAUUCCCUACCUGUGAAGAGGGCAUGGUAGUGGAGACCCUUCUCCUUGUCCUGAUGGGAGCAGACAUCAAAUAAGUAGGCUUUGAUGGGCCCAUCAAUGAAGUCAGCAGCAAAAUCAAAGAGAACCACACCUAUCAUGGUGACACUUACGGCCCAAACCAGCUUCCUCCUUGGGUUAGCAAUCAAAGCUAAAAGAAAAAUAAACAUUGGUCUCCUAAA